GCCUUCCAGCAAGGAACAGGACUACCUUUAAGCCUCCUAGCGCUGCCCUCAGAUGGGGGUAUUGUUCUCUCCAGUUUGUGUUAAACCCAGCCUAGCUAGGUUUAGCUCACGUAGCCUGUGUUUCCGCUCCCUGGUACUUAAUAAGCCUACGUUGCAGCUAUGGUGCCCGUUACCUUCUCACCUGUUCGCUUCUGCAAGGGAAGUGCUUGUUCUUAUGAUGGCAAAGGUGUCCAUGAGGUUUUACGUUUUGUGACUGUUCUUAUUUUGCCCACGUUUGUGUGACAAUUUUGCAUUUGUCCUUUUUGGCUGGGUCCCAAAAAUGGCUUAAAGAUGUAAAACAACUCCUAAAUGAACUUUAGACCUCAAAAUCUACAAUUACUCUCCCUGAAACAAGAGCUCCCGCGUGCUCCUUCUCUCCUUCACAUAUGCUGGGCAGUGAGGUCUGAGGCACCUGAUUCUUCUUGCUUGUCCUCCUCUACUCCCAGUUCCUCUCCGCGUGGAGACAGCUGCCCCAAGAGGAGCUCCUCGCGGCUCAGGCUGAGAUGAUUCCCCUUGCCCAGAUUUCACUCCUGGAGAAUUCCAGGUUUCUUUACACUCUCCACGUGCUGUUCUGUGCCUUGCUCUGCCCAGACGUGACACACAGGACCUGAGUGCUUCACUUGGGAUUUUUCCUUGGAGCUCAGUGGAACCGCCCCGGUUUGACUCCCCACAUCUUCGGCGUGGAAGGAGAUGCUCCCAGCAGGCAGAAAGUACAUCUCUACCCGGGAGGACAGGAACCGCGUGCUGCCGAUGCACCUGGGCUCCAGCUCCUCUGAUCCCUGCAGGACCGCGGGCGGCUGCGGGCAGAAGGUGCCGGUGGUGCAGCUGGAGGCUCACUCCACCUGCAGAGACCGCCCUGCCUCACUGGAGGCAUCCCAGCGCCUUGUGGCUGCAUCCUGACGUUGUUCCCAAGCAGCAGCCGGAGCCACUCGUGCUGCUGAGGACAGAAGGCAGUAAGUCGGCACCAGAGCACCGGGCCAAGGUCAGCGCUCUCCGCCAGACGCCGGCUGCCCAGAGCUCACCUCCCGCACACACUGCAAGAGGCGACGCCAAUGCUGGGACACGAGUAGCCUGAGCUACUUGUUCUAAAAAGAGAAGACAAAUGGAUUGUAGCUCUUUGUGCUUUCAGACGCCCAGCGAGCAGAGACACACGCAGAAGCUGAAGUAUUUAUGGCACACAAAGAACAUCCCUUUCAUCUUCAGUGUUUGAAAUCUUCCUUCAGAGCUUACCUGCGGGACAGUGCUGCACGCAGCUUGCCCAAAUACACUGUAUAAUUCACACAACAAAAAACUCAUAAAAGAACGUUAGGCCUGGAGGACAAACCCCUGAAAAAUCAGGAAUGCUUUGGGCAGAAGGACUGAAUUUUCAGGGCCUGCGUGGGAUGCGCAAGGAUGCUUCAGCGGGGUGUCAGAACUGACGGACUUGCCAGAGCCCACGGCCCUCCUGCAGGCCCCGGCAGCGGGCCCAGAGCAGCCCCGACCCCGCUGGGUGCCGGUGGGCUGCGUGCCCGGACCCCGGGGCUGGCCAUCAGCCGGGGGCAAGCAACCCGCUCUGCGCUCCCCUGGCACGGCCCCACCUCUCCUUGCUCAGGGAACAGGAACAAGAUGUGGCUGGGAUCUGAGUCAGAGACAAUAUUUCAAGUUUGAUA